ACCGGAAAUCAACAACUACAGAAGACGAUUCUGCGGAUUUUUCUCACUCGCUCGACUCAGCAACGUUUUAAUCGGUGGAAGAUUGCAAUCAACAACAAGCAACUACACGGAGAAGAUGAAUUCUGCCGGAUUUUGCUCACUCGCUUGACGCAGCAACAUUUUAAUCGGUGGAAGAUUGCAAUCAACAACAAGCAACUACACGGAGAAGAUGAAUUCUGCCGGAUUUUGUUCACUCGCUUGACGCAGCAACGUUUUAAUCGGUGGAAGACUUCCAAUCGACAACAAGCAACUACACAGAGAAGACGAAUUCUGCCGGAUUUUGCUCACUCGCUCGACGCAGCAACGUUUUAAUCGGUGGAAGACUUGCAAUCAACAACAAGAUGGGUCACCAUGAUUUGAGAAACUCUGCAACACUGAAAGAUAUAGAGAAUGACAAGGAGAAGCAUACGUGGAAGAGAAAAUAUGACAUUUUUUAGUUUUUUUUCCAGAUAUGUUGUUUUUUAUACUUGUUUUAAGACGUACAUUAUUUAGUAGUUAAGUAUUACAUUGUUUUGGAGUUGUCCUACUUUAUAAUUUUAUCUCUACUAUUAUUAUGUUAUAAGUUUACUAUAUACGUUUGACCCAUGGAUUGGUAAACCCAAAGGGCAUAAAUUCAAGUUCUCUGUAA